rnacentral:tRNA from 1 species
GCGCUAGUGGUGGAACAGGCAGACACGCAGGAUUUAGGUUCCUGUGCCUUCGGGUGUGCGGGUUCGACUCCCGCCUAGCGCA